rnacentral:rRNA from 1 species
GAUGAACGCUGGCGGCGUGCCUAAUACAUGCAAGUCGAGCGAACGGACGAGAAGCUUGCUUCUCUGUUGUUAGCGGCGGACGGGUGAGUAACACGUGGAUACCCUACCUAUCAGACUGGGAUAACCUCGGGACACCGGCGAUAAUACCGGAUAAUAUUUUGAUCCGCAUGGUUCAAAAGUAAAAUACGGUCUUGCUGUAUCUUAUCGCUGGAUCUGCGCUGCAUUAGCUAGUUGGUAAGGUAAAGGCUUACCAAGGCAACGAUGCAUAGCCGACCUGAUAGGGUGAUCGGCCACACUGGAACUGGAACGCGGUCCAGACUCCUACGAGAGGCAGCAGUAGGGAAUCUUCCGCAAUGGGCGAAAGCCUGACGGAGCAACGCCGCGUGAGUGAUAAAAGCCUUCGGAUCGUAAUACUCUGUUAUUAGGGAAGAACAUAUUUGUAAGUAACUGUGCACAUCUUGACGGUACCGAGUCAGAAAGCCACGGCUAACUACGUG